CACGACCCAGUCAAUUAGGUAAAACGGUGUUGCAAUUUGCAAGUUGUAAGUGUGAAAUCAAUUCUAGCAUUUUCACAUGAGGAAAGCUUCAUCGUCAAACACUGCAAUUCAUUUUUUCCCCUUUUCCCAAUUCUCUCAUCUUGAAUUUCCGAUACACUCGUCGGCGGCAAAUCUACUACCGGAAUCUCCUUAAUCAUUAUAUUCAUUACUUUGCAUCAGCGAGCGAUUCUUCUUUGGAGUAGUCCCACAUUUCAGAUUUCGAGUAGUAUCAACAGGCGACAACCGAGACCUGAGUUUAAGGUAUCUUCAUUCCUCAGUCUUUUUUCACAUAUUAUUGAUUAGUCGUUGAUUUUUUUGAUUGUUAUAAGUACUGAUUUUCAAGUUGAUAUGUUUGAUGUAUAAAGUGUGCUGAUAAUUGUAAAAGCUGUCGAAUUCGACUUAAUCUCUGUUCUCGAACCUGGGUAGUUAUAUAUUUCCUCUGUUCGGAUAAACUUCUACUCUUCUAGUUUAAUGGUCCUUCGGAAUAAUUUUGGUUGUUCUAUGAUUGCAGAGUCACAGUGUUUCAAUGCCGACAUUGUUUGAAACUACAGCUGUCCAAUCCACUAGUCCAGUACUCCAAUUCCUUUCCCUUAAGUUGUUUAGUGUCUGUUAUAUGUAUUUACAGUUUGUUCAACUCUAUUGUAUCUACUUCUCACAAGUGUUAAUAAUAAUUGGUUGUGUUUUUAAGUUUUUUUUGAAUCAUGUACAAUAUGUUACUUGCUUAUUUACUGAUAUAUUGUUACGCUUCUGCAUUCUCUACCUGUGUUGCAGUACUGUAGUGAUUAUUAUUGGCUUCGCAAUAGUUGUUGAACCAAGGAUCAAGCAUCUAAUACUCAGUGAGGUAAGUUAUCUUUUUAUGCGUUUCAAAGAUGGUGCAUGAUAUAUUAACUUGUUCUCUUUGUUUUUCCAAACUAAGAUUAGAAGAUCACUUGUAUAAAUCCAAUGCCAAACGUGUAAUUCUUAUGCCAAACCUGUUACCUGUUUUAUUGUUUAUCUUAAUGGAUAANNNNNNNNNNNNNNNNNNNNNNNNNNNNNNNNNNNNNNNNNNNNNNNNNNNNNNNNNNNNNNNNNNNNNNNNNNNNNNNNNNNNNNNNNNNNNNNNNNNNNNNNNNNNNNNNNNNNNNNNNNNNNNNNNNNNNNNNNNNNNNNNUGCCAAACUUGUUACCUGUUUAUCUUAGUGGCUAAACUAUGAUUACAAGAUUACAAAUUUACAAUGCCAAAUAGGCUUGGUAAUUGAUAACGUGUACUGCUUCACUUUUCCAUUUGCCUCUAUUCUUAUUAGAAUCAUUAUGAAUAUUGAAAAACUACUUAUGAAUAUUGAAAAAAAUACUUAUANNNNNNNNNNNNNNNNNNNNNNNNNNNNNNNNNNNNNNNNNNNNNNNNNNNNNNNNNNNNNNNNNNNNNNNNNNNNNNNNNNNNNNNNNNNNNNNNNNNNNNNNNNNNNNNNNNNNNNNNNNNNNNNNNNNNNNNNNNNNNNNNNNNNNNNNNNNNNNNNNNNNACAACUGAUGGGUAUAUAUACUAUAAAAGCAAAGUUUCUUUUUAUACAAAUAACUAAAUAUAUCUCUUAUUCGGUUUACAUAAUUAGGAAUAAUUAGGGUUAAUCCUACAUCCCCCCCCCCCCCCCCCCCCCUCCCCCGCCGGGGCGUCCGUCUACCUCUCUCCCGUCUCUCUUUUUUAACCUUGACAAUGACUUGGUGAAAACAUCAGCGAGUUGUUGACUUGUUGGAACAUAAUCCAGAUUUAUAACUCCAUUUGUAACCUUUUCUGAGAUGAAUCGACAAUUCAGUUCAACAUGUUUAGUUCUAUCAUGAUGAACUGGAUUUCGGACGAUGCUAAUCGCAGAUUUACCAUCACAAAGAACCUGUAUAGGUAUCUGAGGAGGCAUAUGUAAUUCGCCAAGAACCCGAUGCAACCACAUACCUUCCUAAAUUCCGGAAGUCAAUGCACGAUACUCAGCUUCUACACUGCUGAGGGGCACUACGUCUUGUUUCUUGCUUCUCCAUGUCACAAGAAUCCCCCAUACAUAGGUCUCAUAUCUGGUAGUUGAUCUUAGUUCUGUUAACUCACCUGCUAACUCGAAUCAAUGUAUAUAGUGAAGCCUCUGUGAUCAUGCUUUUUGAAGAAUAGGCCAUGUCUAGGGGUAAACUUUAGAUACUUCAGAAUUCGAUAAACCAUCUCUAAGUGUUCCUCGUUGGGAUUGUGCAUAUGUUGACUUGUAAUCCCAACUGAGUAUAAUAUAUCUGGACAAGUAUGAGCCUGAAAAAUGAGCUUACCUACUAAACAUUGAUAAUCCUCUUGUCAAUUGCAACAAUUCCUUCAUUUCGGCUGAAUUUCUUAUUCGGUUCCAUCAUAAUGCUCAUAGGUUUGCAAUUCAGCAUUCAUGUUUCCUUCAACAAAUCAAGAACAUAUUUCCUCUAAGAGAGAACAAUACCGUUUCAGAGCGAGCAACCUCCAUACCCAAGAAGUACCUUAGAUUUCCCAAGUCCUUGAGCUCAAAUUUGGAUGCAAGUCUCUGAUUUAACUAAUUUAUCUCGUGCGUUUCAUUCCCAAUGAUGAUGAUAUCGCCCACAUACACUAUUAGGACAUCAAUCUUCCUUGUAUCUGAGCGCCUUACAAACAUUGUAUGGUCCGAUUGGCAUUGGGUGUAUCUUGCCGACUUGACAGCUUUAGCAAAUCGAUCAAACUAGGCAUAUGGUGACUGUUUCAGUCCUACAAGGCUUUGUUCAAUUUAGACACUCUUCCAUUCAAAGGAAACCCAAGAGGAGGAUUCAUGUAAACUUCUUCAAGCAAUUCUCCAUUGAGAAAAGCAUUCUUUACAUCAAGCUGAUGAAGAGCCCAAUCUAGGUUGGCAGUUGGACUAAGAAGAACUGGAAUAGUAUUAAGUUUUGCCGCUGGUGCAAAGGUUUCUUCAUAAUCAAUGUCAUGAGUUUGUGUGAACCCCCUGGCCACUAAACAAGCUUUAAAUCGUUCAAUCGAUCCAUCCACUUUAUAUUUGAUGGUAAACACCUAGCGACAGUCAACUAUGCAUCUGUUAGGGGGAAGAUUAACUAAGUCCCAAGUGUGAUUUGCCUUGAGGGCACUUAAUUCUUCUUUGAGAACCUUUUCCCAUCUUGGAUCGAAUAAGGCUUGUUUGAUAUUUUAACUGACUAUCCGAUGAAGCCGGGUUUUCCCCGACCCGGUCAUUAGGGCGGCCAGUGAUAGAGUACAUACUACAUGUCCCCGAUCCGGCCAAAUGCCAAGCCUACACAGAAGCCAUAAACAGAAUCAAGACAUAAAUGUUUUUAUAAACAAUUUGAAUGGCCACCAAUGGGGAGAAGCUGGAAAAUAACAUCCAGCAACGACCUCUGCCGUAACAAUGAAGAAAUGGCAACGACGACCCCGUCUUUAGUAUCUUCUUCUGAAUCGUCUUGGGGAGAGGAACCUCCGCCAGAGACCACAACGGUGGUGGCGCAAUGACCGGGGGGCGAGCCACCGCCCGCCGGUGACGGGUGGGCACGAAGCCCCGGACGCGUACCAGAUAUCGUUAGAUUUGUUUUUGCUGAAGAAAUCGUCGCCGAUGCAUUAGCAAUACUGGUGCGGCUGAGGAUUUAAGGUUUAACGUGUAAGAUGUUGAAAAUCGAAAUGAUAAUAAGUCCAAAUAAUUGAUGAACAUUUUCUGAUUAUGAACCUUAAAUGACUGAAUCGAAUAUGCAUGAUAAAUAGAUAUAUGAUUCAUUAUAAUUUAAAGUAUAUGGAUAAAAAUAUACAUAAAAACAUAAAAAAUUUAUCUAAAUAUUAAAAUAUAAUUAAUAUAUAAAAAUUAGAUGAACGUCUAGUCAUCGCUUAAGUGAACACCAUAUAGGGAAUGUACAGGUGCACCCGAGUGCAUUACAGAGAGCACCUCAAUUUAAAGUAUGAACUUUGAGAAGUAAUUUUAGGAUCCCUGCUCCUCGAUUUUGUUCACGACGGCUGAAAAAACUACCUUUUUCAACUCGAGUGGAGAUAAGCUCUCGUUAUUAAGGGAAGGGUCCCUUACUUAUCUCUUGCUCAGUGGUUAAUCUACCUCUGGGCUAAGAAUGGGGCCUUACAUAUAACUGAUUUGACUAAUGGUUGUUUUCUUGUUCGGUUUCGGGCACCAGAAGAUUACGAGACAGUUGUCUUUGGAGGACCAUGGAUGAUGGGCAACACAUAUCUCAUAAUUUAUCGUUGGUUUAAAGGUUUCAACCCUUUAAACGCAUAAAUUAACCUGAUGAUGGUGUAGGUCCAAUUGCAUGACCUUCCGAUUGAAUUCUACCAUCCCCGAGAAGUGAUUAUACACACAAGUAUCAUUGGAAAGCCUAUUAGGGUGGAUUGUGCCACUGAAGAGGGGUGCCAAGCUAAAUUUGGUCAUUAAGGAGCGCUUGCUUGUAAUGUACCUACAAACAUCCUUUGCUGGUUUGCGAUUCUGUGGUGGAUUCCACUAUGCUUGAAAUAGAGGUGAGCCAGAACCCACAUAUGGAAUUUGGAUGAUGGGAAGACAAAAAGGCCGAUUUCGUAGGAAUAACUCUAUUAUUGUUGAAUCAUCCGAUUUCGAACGACCGGCCUCUACUCAUAAUAAGUUUUCUGCUCCACAGGAUGAUGCUCUUCACCUAUUCCUUCGACUUUUAACUUGUCUUCCACCCUAGUUUCGUAGGAUAUGCCUCAUGCUUCUCCGAGUAUGGGUGCGAUGGGUUUAAUCCCCUUUCAAAGGUUGUUAAUGUAGGCCUUGACAUGGUUUUACAUAGUCCGCUGUUUGCUCAGGCUAAUGAGUAACUGAGUAUAUCUUUUGCCAUUUUUGCUUUACUGAAUGAUAAGAGUAAGGGUGGUGGCGGAACAAAGGACAAAGUUGUAGAGAAGGGUGACAAAGAAAUAUCGAAUCAGAAAAAUCGUAAUCGUUCUUCAUAAUCAUUUGUUCGAGUGGUGUUAGUAUUUGGUGGAGAGAUGAGGUAUACAUAGAAAUUAUGUCAAGAUCUCUAAGGCUGUGUAUCUACGGAUGGGCAAAGAGUGCUGAGAAGUGCUUGACUCGGGACCUUAUAUGUUCCCUAGGAUAGCAAUAGGAUGGUCCUUGGCCAUGUGGUGGAGAUUUUAACCAAAUUGCAUCGACUAAUGAGAAAUUGGGGAGUCAAUUCUUAACUAAGGUUGAUAUUGAAGAUUUCAAUAAUUGCCUUUCAGACGACGGCCUUAAUAAUAUUGGUUUCCAUGGGUAUCCUCUUACUUGGGAAAGUAAUCGGGUGGUUGAUGGUUUCAUUGAGGAAAGACAGGACCGUUUUAUGGCAAAAUAAAUGUGGAUUGAUUCAUUUGGGGCUGCUCAAGCUACACAUUUGGAUCGGUACCGUUCUGGCCAUUAUCCUAUUAAAUGUGAUACGUUUUGGGAUGAUGAUGUUGUAAUUAAAUGGAGAUGGUCUUUUCGGUUCGAGCCUCUCUGGAGUAACUAUUCAGGGUGCUCGGCGAUUAUUUUGAAAGCAUGGGAGAGCUCCGAAGAGUUUUAUUAAAAAAUUGCGUCUUCCCUGAAACCAGUUGUAUGGAUCGAUUAGAGAAAGGUUUCCUAAUUUCAAUAAGGAACGUAAAAAGAUUAAAAGAGCUGUUUUGGCCAUAGAGUGGCAGCCGCGCCGACCUCAUGUUCUAUAACAGCGAAAGCAGUGGUGGUGGAUCAUGUACAUAUUGGACGAAGGACGAGAACAAGAAUACUGAUUUCUUCCAUCGAAAAGCAACCUCUCCGGAGUAACCAUUCAAGGUGCAAUUCUUGUUUAUUUAAUCACCUAGCAGGUUUCAGAUCUUUGACUCGAAAGAGCAGACUGGAUAAUAGAUAGAUAGCAAAUUAGUGAUCUUGAAAGGGCGUGAAUUAAGUAGAGAAGAAUUGCAAUAGUUUAUCAUAUUUAUCUUGUUCAUAUUAAAUCAUGAAAUUUUGAUGUUAUUUGUAAAUUUGAAUUGUCUAGGGCGGUUCAAAAUCUAAGUAGGUUCAUCCCUGAUUGUCUAAAUCAUAUUCGUGAAGUCUUGCAAAGCUUACUUUUAAAGAAAUUUUCAUUUUCAUUUUGAUUGUUCGAUUGGUUCUCAUGGCACCUACACCACACUUCUUGUUACACUGAUUAAAACCAGUGCAAUUUUGACUAAGAUACCUAGAGAGACGUUAAGGAGAUUCGACUCUGGUUAAUUUAUUAACUAGAAUAUUUUGAGGGGUGUAAAAAGCGAUCAUCAACUUUUAUGUUCUAUCCUCAUUUCCAGUCUCAUUUCUACAUGAUUUUCAGUUAGCCACUUAGUGCUUAUCACUGACCCGGUCAGAUAUUUUUUUUCCCGGUGUAUUUGUGUAUUUCAGUCACAGGUACUGGAGGUGAUGGUGGGGAGAGAGCUGGUUGGAGUUUUGAUAUUGUUUAUGUCUGUUUUCGAUGCGUUUCAGAACUAGAGUUGUAUCUCCUUUUGUUGUGUUGUGAUUUGGGAUCUGACAUCCCUGUAUGUUUUUUUUAAAGGGUUAUUAAAGUAUUAAAGUUGAGC
rnacentral:lncRNA from 1 species